AUUGAACGCUGGCGGCAGGCCUAACACAUGCAAGUCGAGCGAGCGGCGGACGGGUGAGUAAUGUAUGGGGACUGCCCGAUAGAGGGGGAUAACUACUGGAAACGGUGGCUAAUACCGCAUACUAUCGGAUAACCCAUAUGGGAUUAGCUAGUAGGUGGGGUAAAGGCUCACCUAGGCGACGAUCUCUAGCUGGUCUGAGAGGAUGAUCAGCAAAACGAGAACUGGAACACGGCCCAGAUUCCUAGGGAGGCAGAGGUGGGGAAUAUUGAACAAGGGGCGCAGGCCUGAGGCAGCAAGGCGGCGUGUAUGAAGAGGGCCUUAGGGUUGUAAAGUCCUUUCAGCGGGGAGGCGUUACCCGAAGAAGAAGCACCGGCUAACUCCGUGCAACCAGCCGCGGUAUUU
rnacentral:rRNA from 1 species